ACACACAGUAUGUAUUAUAAUUUUCUGGCUUUUAACCAAACCAUUAGUCACUGAACACCUUCGGGAAGGAAGCUGGCAUUUCGACAGCAGCAGAAGGUGAAACAAGACAGCAUAAACAGCGAGGUGUAACGGUUAACGAACAGGAAAAACACAGCAAAAAUACCCAAUGAAAAUAGAGUUUACACUUUAAAUUGUGCUAACUUUUUUUUUUUUGUUUAGUUUUUUUUUUUUUUUUUGAUGGGUGUUUUUUUUUUUUCCAGCGGUUUGUCUUUGCUUUCUAGCUGGUGGUGACGUUUCCAUGGUGCUGCUGAUGAGAUGCUCACCAGCUUGAUGCAACGGAGAGAGCAGAACACCAGAAAUAUGGCCCACUGCUUCUGAAAUCAAUACUGCAUGAAUGCCUGUGAGGAAACAUUAUCAGGGAACAAAAUGUAACCGGCCUGCUACUGUGCUGUACAUUGGAGCACCAACCAGUAAGUCGGACAGCCCAUCUGAAUUGAGGUCAACAGCACAGAUAGAAGAACCAAAAUAGG